rnacentral:rRNA from 1 species
UGGGGAAUUUUGCACAAUGGGGGAAACCCUGAUGCAGCGACGCCGCGUGAUUUAGAAGGCCUUCGGGUUGUAAAAAUCUUUUUUACGGGAUGAAAAUGACAGUACCGUAAGAAUAAGGUCCGGCUAAAUACGUGCCAGCAGCCGCGGUAAUACGUAUGGACCGAGCGUUGUCCGGAUUUAUUGGGCGUAAAGCGAGCGCAGGCGGUCAAUUAAGUCUGAUGUGAAAGCCCCCGGCUCAACCGGGGAGGGUCAUUGGAAACUGGUUGACUUGAGUGCAGAAGAGGAGAGUGGAAUUCCAUGUGUAGCGGUGAAAUGCGUAGAUAUAUGGAGGAACACCAGUGGCGAAGGCGACUCUCUGGUCUGUAACUGACGCUGAGGCUCGAAAGCGUGGGUAGCAAACAGG